rnacentral:rRNA from 1 species
GAUGAACGCUGGCGGCGUGCCUAAUACAUGCAAGUCGAGCGAACGGACGAGAAGCUUGCUUUUCUGAUGUUAGCGGCGGACGGGUGAGUAACACGUGGAUAACCUACCUAUAAGACUGGGAUAACUUCGGGAAACCGGAGCUAAUACCGGAUAAUAUUUUGAACCGCAUGGUUCAAAAGUGAAAGACGGUCUUGCUGUCACUUAUAGAUGGAUCCGCGCUGCAUUAGCUAGUUGGUAAGGUAACGGCUUACCAAGGCAACGAUGCAUAGCCGACCUGAGAGGGGGACCGGCCACAAUGGAGCAGGGGCACGUUCCAGACCCCGGCGGGGGGCAGGAGUGGGGAAUUUUCCGCAAGGGGGGAAAGCCUGACGGAGCACCGCCGCGUGGUGGAGGAAGGUCUUGGGAUCGUAAAACUCUUUUAUUAGGGAAAAACAUAUGUGAAAGUACCUGUGCACAUCUUGACGGUACCUAAUCAGAAAGCCCCGGCUAACUACG